UACGUAGGGGGCUAGCGUUGUCCGGAAUCAUUGGGCGUAAAGCGCGUGUAGGCGGUUCGGUAAGUCUGAUGUGAAAGCCCACGGCUCAACCGUGGAGGGUCAUUGGAAACUGGGGAACUUGAGUGCAGAAGAGAAAAGCGGAAUUCCACGUGUAGCGGUGAAAUGCGUAGAGAUCGGGAGGAACACCUGUGGCGAAGGCGGCCCCCUGGGCCGGCCCUGACACUGAGACGCGAAGGCGUGGGGAGCGAACGGG
rnacentral:rRNA from 1 species